CUGCACGCUUCGUCCCCAAUCUGUCGAUCCCCUCUCCGCUCGCCUCCUCCUCUCCCGGGUCGCUGCGCCGCCGGCUCAGCCGCUUCUCCUGCGCCUUCUCCUCCUCGCUCCUCUCCUCAUAGAUGAGUCCUCGACCAGAUCGGCGUCCAGCGCAGGAGGAUCCGGAUGGUCGUGGUGGUGGCAUAUUCAGCGGCGUCGCCGGACGAGCUCCAGGUGCGGGGGAGAUAUCUCUACGGGCCCGCGCAACCACGUCCCCUCGCUGACGUCGGCAUGUAGUCCGCCCAUGCCGUCGAGGAGAGGGAGCAGCCGCGCCCGGAGGAGGUCGUCCCCAACGUCUGCAUAAUCCAGUCCGGAUUUGUGGAGAGCCCGGUGCAGCACCGUCUACAGGUCCAUAUCUCUUACUCUACCUUCUUCCUUGCAAAGGCAAGGCUUCCAU
rnacentral:rRNA from 1 species